GGGGGUAAAUUUAAUAAUUAUAAAAACUAAUAAAAAAAAAUUUAUUAUUAAAAAUAUAUAAUGGGGGUUAAAGUAUUUUUAAUAGAAAAAAUUUAUAAAUUUAUAGUUUAAUAGUAUUGUAAAAGAAAAUUUAAAUAAAUGAAAAAUAAAAUUUUAAUAAAAGUAAAUUUAAUUUAUUGUAUCUUGUGUAUCAGAGUUUAUUAAAUAAAAAUUUUUGUAUAAAAAAUUCUCGAAUUUAAAAGAGUUAAUUAAUUAAAAAAGUUACUGUUGAAUAAUUAUUUUUAAUAGUUAAUUAGAAAUGAAAUGUUAAUCGUUUUUAAAUAUAUCUAGUUUUUUUAGAAAAAAAUUUAAUUUUAAAUUUAAAUAAUUUUAUAAUUAAUUAAAUAAUUAUAAAAAUUUGAAAUUUAAUAUUUUAGGGGAUAAGCUUUAAAUUAAAAAAUUAUAAUUAUUUAAGAUAAAUUGAAAUUUUUAAUAUUUAUAUUGUUUAUAAAUUAUAAUUUAUUAUAAAAAAUUUCAAUUCAAUUAAAAUUUAAAUAUAAAUUUAAUUUUUUAUAAAAAAAUUAUUUUUAAUAAUUAAAAAUUAGAAAUAAUGAUAAAAUUAGUAUAAUAUAAUAAAAAAAAAAUAAAAUUAUUAAAAAUUAAAUUAAAGGAAUUCGGCAAAAAUUUAUAUUCACUUGUUUAUCAAAAACAUGUCUUUUUGAUUAAUAAUUUAAAGUCUAAUCUGCCCACUGAUAUUUAUUAAAGGGCUGCAGUAUAUUGACUGUACAAAGGUAGCAUAAUCAUUAGUCUUUUAAUUGGAGACUUGUAUGAAAGAUUUGAUGAAAUAUAAACUGUCUCUAUUUUAUUAGUAAAAAUUAAUAUUUUAGUUAAAAAGCUAAAAUAAAAUUAAAAGACGAGAAGACCCUAUAGAGUUUUAUAUUUAAUUUUAUUAUAAUAAAAUAUAUAAUUAAUUAUUAUAAUAAAAUUAAAUAUUUCAUUGGGGUGAUGAAAAAAUUUAAUAAACUUUUUUUUUUUAUUAACAUAAAUAAAUGAUUAAAUGAUCCAUAAUUUUAUGAUUAUAAGAAAAAAUUACCUUAGGGAUAACAGCGUAAUAUUUUUUUUUAGUACAAAUAAAAAAAAAAGUUUGCGACCUCGAUGUUGGAUUAAGAUAAAAAUUAAAUGCAAAAGUUUAAAAUUUUUGAUCUGUUCGAUCAUUAAAAUCUUACAUGAUCUGAGUUCAAACCGGUGUAAGCCAGGUUGGUUUCUAUCUUUAAUGAGUAAUAAUAUUUUAGUACGAAAGGAUCAAAUAUUAGAAAUAAUUUUAGUUAAUUUGAAUAUUAUUAAUGUUAUAAUUUA
rnacentral:rRNA from 1 species